UCAUGAGUUCGAGCCCUGCAUCGGGCUCUCUGCUGUCAGUGCAGGGCCCACUUCGGAUCCUCUCCCCAUCUGUUUCUCCCCCUUCCCCUCGCACGCUUGCGCUCUCCCUCUCAGAAAUAAACCCUUUAAAAACCUCAUGUCGUCUCAAGCUUCUAAUCUGGGAGUGCUCUUGAUCAAAAAACUGCUACUGCCUCUAUAAUCGGAUUCUCCUCCCAUCUUUCACACAUCAGUAAGCAAUGCUUUUUCACUUGCCUACGCCAUAAGCCUCUAAAUUCUAACAUCUCUCUCCCUGACCCAUUUCUACUCUGUCACUUAAUCUUAUUGAUUCUGUCUCUAAAACGUGUCUUGAAUCUGAUCACUUCUUUCCAUUUCCAUUUCAGUUCAAGACUUCUCCAGCUUCUACUCUUAAUCCUGAUCAGGCGUUCUUCACAGAGGGGUAUUUUUUGCAAAUCAGAUUCUACUUAAACCCUAUCAGUGUUGCUUGAUUGCUUACUAUAAACCUAAAAUCAUUGACAAGGCCUUGUGUGACCCAGUCGUGGUCUACUUCUCCAACGUCACCUUAUUCUCUAAUGCCCACCUGCUCUGUAGUUCAGACAUACUGACCUUUUCAGGUCCUUAAAUGCACCUUGAUCUUUCCUUCCUCAGGGUCUUUGCCCGGAAUGGUCCCUCUGCCUGAAGUGCUCUUCCUUCUCCCCUUUACCUGACUAACCCCUCAUUUUUCACUGUUACCUUAAAUGUCAGUUCCUCGGAAAAGCCUUCCCAGAUACUUUAACCAGUAUUCUAUCGUAGCAUCCUCUAUUUACAUUUCUUUCAUAACAGUGAACUCAAUUUGAUUUUAUUUCUUUUUAAACUGAGGCAUACCGGGCCCAUCUGCACCCCCCCAAAGGCGUGGCUGCCCCGUCGGCAUCACAGGGCCACGAGCACGCGUCCUUCAGCCUGGAGUAGCUGGAGUUCAUCUUCCUCCGGACUCUGUUCCUCAACAGCCACCUGUGCCAGUGCCUGUCUGCGCUCAUCCCUGAGCCCAGGAUCCAGGUGUGGUUCCAGAACAGGCGUGCCGAGUCAUGACAUCACAGUGGGAAAUCCUUUCGACCUUGGCCAGGCUGGACCUUUUGCUCCACCACUCUGCUCAUGGAACUGAAACGAAAUGAUGGAAGCCCUAGCUGCCUCUUGAGAUAGAUGUGAACUGCCUGCCACAUCCCAGCACGGUUGGAGAGGGCAAUCUCUGACCCUGACUCUCAAGGUGGUUCGAGGACACUACAAAGGUCAGCAAAUAGGCAAGGUAGUCCAGGUGUACAGAAAAAAGUAUGUCAUCUACAUCGAGCGAGUGCAGCGUGAGAAGGCUAAUGGUACAACUGUUCAUGUGGGCAUUCACCCCAG